rnacentral:lncRNA from 1 species
CUGUGGGGAGGGUUCCUUGCUGGAGACAGUGGUCAGCUGGUCGCUGGGUCGUGACUGCCCUAGGUAAGAUCGCCGUCCCGGGCCCUGGGUCCUCUGGGCUCUGCAUGCAUCGAUGCCCUUCCGGGAGGUAGGCUGCAGCGGCAGGAGCCAAGUGGGUCUCGGAGACCGCCGGGGCGCGCAGGGCCCGGGGCGCGGAACUCCGGGAACCGCAAUUGCCAAGCACUUGUGUUUCGGGACCCCGAGGGCUCCUCGCGCCACCUCCAGCACCCGAAGAGAGUGGGUAGGUGGUUCAGGGCGUCUGCUCAGGCUCGGGGGAAAAGGUGGGGCCGGAAGGAGACGGGCUGAAUUACUCCCGCCGCCUGCAGGCCCAGGGUGACCCUCAGGCUAUACUGGGCCCGGGUGCGCCGACCUGUGGCAGUAACUCCCAGGAGUUCGCUGCCGCCAGUCCCUGGGUCUUGACAGUUGUCGGCUGGUGGCAUCUGCUCCGAACAGCCUCCCUGCCCUCCGCGGACCUGGGUCCCGCCCAGGAAUCCUAUCCGAGGCUCCGAGGCCUGUCCCAUGGGAGGGUGGAUAUUUCUUUCCACUACGCGCUCAGAGGCUCUAGGGCAGUCGGGUCGGAAACUUUGUUCCGGGGUCUGGAACACUCUGCUACCUCCUCCCUUUCUCUGAUAUCGAAGUGCCAGAGAAAGGGUGAGCAUGAAACCAAGCAAGAACGACAUUCUUUGUAUGGAUGCUGUGAAGCUUCAAAAACAUCUUGUAGGACAGUCAGUUACCUGGGAAUUAAGGCUGACAAGGAGAGCAGCCCUCUCUCAAAAGAUUUCCCCUACUGCCAAGAGAAAGAGAUUAAUGUUGCAUCCUCCCAUGUGCAUCUCCUCUGGCCACCCCCAUCCCGCCCCCUCGACGACCUUGGCCCCUCUGCAGGCAUAGAUGCAGAGGGCUGGCUGUGUGGCCCUCACUUCCUCCAGGGGCCUUUGUGCCCUGUAAGGUACAUAGCCAACUUCAGUGAGGUAGCACAUCUUGGGUUCAAUUCUUGUGUGGACCCCUGGCCAGCUGUGUAAAUGGUAUCACUUCUUUCCUGGGAUUGUCAAGAAAUCAAGUGGAAAAAAAUCUCAGGAUAUGUCUAUCUGUAGUGAGCCCUCAAUCAAUGUGAAAACAUGGGCUUCCAUUCCUUUUGGUGGGGUCACAUCACCCCAUCUUCCCCAUCUGUACCUUAAGGCUUGAGACUGGGCUGUGGAAGAGCGCUUCAUGGGACUCCCUCCUAGUGCCCUCCUAAGUGCCAUGGGAAGGUAAGGAGAAGGGGUUCCAUAAAUCUCCACAGAGUUGUCUUUGUGCAUCUCCUGAAAGAUCAGAAGACCCAUAGCUUCCUGCUCUCUGGACUUUCCAUCACUAGCAAUUGUCCCACCAGGAGUCUGAAGCAUGGUGGUCAACAAAGCAAAUCAUGCAACCUGGGGCUAUGAGACCACCAGAUAGGAUUGCUGUCCCGCAUCCUAUGUGGUGAGGACCUGGCACCUGCAGCAGCUAUAGGUACAGUCUAUGAUGCAACACUGUCUCUGUGCAUGUGGGUAUCAUGCACACUGAAUACCCACUUUGUCCCCUAUCUGCUUCCUUACCUCUUUGACAGUGCUUUUGAUAUUCAACAACAUCUUAAGCUUCACAUGUUCAAAACAGACCUCUGGAGUUCCCUCUUCACCAAGGCUCUCCCAUUGCUUCCCUGGCUUGGUAAAUGGCACUUUCCUCCUACCCAGUGCCCAGGGAGUCAUGCUUGAUUCUCCUCUUUCCUUCACCUUCCUCAUCCACAAACACCAGGAAUCCCACUUCCCCUUGCCACUUCUGUGGUUAUCAUCCUGGCCAUGUCCAUCAAUGUCUCCCCCCGAACCCCACCCUGAGUGGCCUCCUGACUUGUCUCCUGCUCCCAUUGUGGCCCUUCCACAGUCCUCAUGACCACCAAAGAGGACUUUGAUGUAAAUAAAAAACUCUCUUUUCCUUGUUAGAACCUUCUAAGGGAGUUUUCUAUUUUUCUCCAAAUAAAACCCAAAGUCCUUUUCUACAAGAGUGGCCCCUAACAACCUCUGUGACCUUGAUCUUUGCCUCUCCCCCUAGCUUUCUGAACCUCGACCGCACUGGCCUGCAUUCUAUUCUUCAAACAUGCCCAACUCAUUCCCAUCCUAGGACUUCCUCAUACUGUGCCCUCUGCCUGAAACACUAAUCUUCUCACAGCUGAGAACAGCCCAACUCAAAUGUCUCCAACUGAGAAGGGCUUCCUUAAUUACCCCAGUUCAAGUAGCAUGACCUUCUCCAGGAUGUGUCUCAUUGCUCUGUUUUGUUUUCUUUACAAUUUGUAUUGCUUUUUGGAAUUCUCAUUUAGGUAUGUGUUUACUAUCUGUUAUCUCUCCUACCCCAAUGAAUAUAAAUUGGAUAAUGGCACAGACCUUAUCUCUCUUAUCCCCUGCAGCACUCCCUGAUGGGGAGGCAAAUAAGACACAAGCAAACAAAUACACCUAUACUUGCAAAUUGUGGCAAGUACAUAGCUACCACUUGUAUUUGGAAUAUUUUUAAACUUUUAAGCUUAUAUGUCUGAACUGAACAAUUGUAUUGUCAAAACAAACUCCCUGAGCUAUUUUAAGGAAAAGGCUGGUAACUUGCCUGGGUCAUACUGUGGUGUUCAGGGCAGUAAGUCAAUCUCCUGCCAUAAGAACACAUAUACAAGCUUUAAGGGUGAGUCUGCAGGCAUCUUCUGGGAAGAACCUGAUCCUAAACCUCAUUCCUUUGCUUUUCCAGUGACUAGAAAGCUCCUUAAUUUCUUAGUAACUUAUUUUCUUCAUAUUUAUAGUAAAAGGAUCCUUUUGUAUGUGUGUUGGGGGCGGGGGUGUUAGGUCUUGCUAAGGUGUCCAGGUUGGCCUUGAAUUUGUGAUUCUACUGCCUAGCCUUCCAAAUUGGGAUGGAUUACAGGAGCAUGCCACUGAAGGGGGAGUCCUAUUGUUAUUAUGUUGGACUUGUUUUUUUCUUUAUUUUGGUAUACCCCAAAGAGGCAGCACUUGUAGGUGACUCUCUUACUAUCCUGCCUAAGAGUCAGGAGGGGAACAGGUAUAUCCCCUAGUCACAGCAGCUAGGGGCACAUUGCAGACCCUCCUCAGCACUGAACAACCUGCAGGGUAGAAAUGGGUCCUAGAAGUCGGGUGUGGUGGCACACGCCUGUAAUCACAGCAGCUCCAGAAACUAAGACAGGAGGAUGGCGAAUUCAGAGUCAGCCUCAGCAAUGGCGAGUCGCUAAGCAACUCAGUGAGAUCAUGUCGCUAAAUAAAAUACAAAAUAGGGCUGAGUUCAAUCCCAAGUGUCCCUGAGUUCAAUCCCUGUUCCCACCUCUUUCAAAAAAGAAAUGGGUCCUGGGUCUUCUGCAUCUGAUUUUUUUCUGGUCAUCGAUUGAUUUUCUUUUUUUUAAUUUUUGUUUUUGGGUACCAGGGAUUGAACUCAGGGGCACUCAACCACUGAAUCACAUCCCUAGCCCUAUUUUGUAUUUUAAUAGAGACAGGGUCACACUGAGUUGCUUAGUGCCUUGCUAAAUUGCUGAAGCUGGCUUUGAACUUGUGAUCUUCCUGCCUCUACCUCCUGAGCCCCUGAGAUUAUAGGCAUGUGCCACUGUGCCUGGCCCAUCAAUUCAUUUUAAACCAAUUAUUUGAGAGCCUCUGAGAACUAGGCAAUAUUAACAUAGAAUGUUUUAAGAAAUAAAAGAUUAAAGGGAAUAAAGCAAAAAUUCCAAAACAUGGAGAAAGAAUUAUGAUUUGUCCAACCCUGUUGCCAUGUGCAAUGCCUUUUCUUCCAGUCUUUUUACCUCUCUCUCAGUCCAUUUUCCCUUCCCCGGGCCACAGCCCUAUCUUUUUAGAAGCUGAGCAGCCAUGGCCUUUGCUGAAGAUGAGACCUAUAAGUAUAUCCGCCUCCAUCACAGCAAGUUUUGCUGUGUUAAUGUUCUGGAGAUUCUGCCUUUUCUGCCUUGCCUGACAGCCAGUGACCAGGUGAGCAGGGAAGUGACAAUUGGACAUGGGGCUGGGGGCUGGGCUGUGGAAUUAAGCUCAGCCCCAUGCCAGGUUUUCACCCAAGCCUGGGCCUACUACUUUUUCUUAGUUCCCCUCUGUCUUGCUUCUUGUGUUCUCUGCUUUUUAACUUUUAGAUGAAACGUGGUUCAGGGUGGCUUUUCUAACCUUGCUGAGCUCCCUCUUGUGUUGUUUUAGUGUAGUGCUCAAAAAUAUGGCACUGACUCUGGUCCCUUUGCCCAUUAUUUUUUAGAUCCUCUUUUCUUCCCUGAUGGUUUUUUUGUUUUGUUUUGUUUUGUUUUGGUAUCAGGGAUUGAACCCAGGGAUGCUUAACCAUUGAGCCACACCUACCCCAGCUCUUUUUAUUUUUUAUUUAGAGACAGUGUCUCACUUAGUUGCAGCGAUCCUCCUGCCUCAGCCUCCCAAGCUGCUGGGAUUUCAGGCAUGAGACACUGUGCUUGGCUCAGUUUUGAGAGUUGAGAGGGGCCAGAUCUGUCCUGCCCACCAGGACUUUCUGCAGACCCCUUAAACUAACUAGUUAGUGAAAUGAAUGAAUCCCUUACAAUUUUAGCUGUUCUCAAAUGGUAUCCCUGUGCUCCUAGUAGAUGCCUGUGGGCUCUUUUGGCACCCAAAAGACAUGUCCUCCAGUGUCUCAGGAGCACCAUUGCUUCCUCUGUGUCCUCCUGUGUAAGUACCAUUAGAGCACAGGUCUGGGGUAGUUGAGUUUUUGUCCCAAUUUGUAUUGAUGAGCUUGCGGGCAUAUCUUGUUACCUCGUUUGUAGUAAAUGUUUUCUCUGAGUUUUCAUUUCUUCUAGUUGCUCUUUCUGUUUGUUUGUUUGUUUUUUGUUUUUUCCCUUUGGACCAGGGAUUGAGCCCAGGGACACUUAACCAUUGACCAUAUCCCCAGCCCUUUUUUAAAUGUUUUAUUUUGAGAUAGGGCUUUGCUAAGUUGCUGAGACUGGCCUUGAACUUGCAAUCCUCCUGCCUCAGCUCCCAAGCUGUUAAAAUUACAGGAGUGCACCACCGUGCCCAGCUAGUUGCUUGUUUUUAUAAGGGAAUUUGAAUCAGUGUAAAAAUGCAGCUGGUGUCUUCUUUCCAGAUACCCCCUCCGCAGUGGCUCCUCAGAACCCUCAUUCCCCCAAUUUGAUCCCCUUUCUUCUCUUCUUUGCCUCUUUUCAUCUUAUUGUUGCUACAUACCUUUCCUUCUGCAUCCAUCCAAGCCUUUUUCUUUGCUUUAGGGCCUGUCUAAACCCAAGGCUUUGCCUCAGAUUAACUGGGUUUGGAUUCCUGUCCCACUGCUAUAGGAUUGAUGCUACUUUGCUUCUGCUAAUGCCUCAGUUUCCUCAUCAGUGUAUAGGGAUAAUAAUGGCAUUAAAUAAGAAUUCAUGUAAAACCACAACAGAGACCCUAGGACAUUGUCACAGCCUAUUUCCUGCUAGCUGCCUUUAUUGUUGUUGGUAAUUUCUCUUCUUCACUCCAUACCUGGGCUCCAGUCCUGGUCUUGUUCUGAGCUCUGACUCAAUUUCAGAUGGCUGACUCCUUCUUGUGGCUUUCUUGAUGCCCCCUCUGCAGUGGCUCCUCUGUGGGUGGAGAAAGAAUUGGGGCCACCUGGCUUGAGCAGGGUGGCUGCACUGUGUCUUCUAGGAUCGACUACGGGCCUGCUACUCAAGCCUGGGAAACCAGGACACACUCUGGGAACUCUUCAACCGCCUCCAGCGCCGGACUGGUUGGGUAGAUUUCUUAAUCAAGGCACUGAAGAUCUGUGAGCAGGCUGAGCUUGCUGAGGAAGUGGCUCAUGUUUACCGGAGCAAACUGCUUCCUGGUGAGCCUCCCAUCCUGGCCAUUUCUGGUCACCCUGCCCCCAUCACCCCUGAGCAAUAUACACAUUUGGGUGUAAAUCCUGGCAGAGCCACUUAUUAUCUGUGUCCCUUUGACCAAGUUCCUUAAUUUCCCUGAACCUCAGCCUUCUCCUCUGCAAAAUGGGGCUAAUGGCAAUGUCUAUCACAUCAGGCUGCAAUAAAUAGCAUAGGAUGGUACCUGCUGAGUAUUUAGCUGGGGCUCAGCACCUCCCAUGUGCUCAGUGCGGGGGGGACCUUCUUUCAAUUUUGUGGCUGUGGUGUUUGCCUCCUUAUUUCCUCUUCUGUCUCAUAUUCCCCCAUCCAUUCAUUCACCAACUCUCUCUCCACCUCCCUUAAGCUGCCUGAUUACUCCUUAACUACUCUUAAGUUCCCUGGCCGGCUUGAGUGCCCAGAGGGAAUUCGUGGGAUGGAAUCUGACACAGGAAGAAAAACUGAAUCAGCCCUAUCUAGUUCAGACUAGAGGCUAUCCCAGAGAUCCUCACUCAGAUUUAUAGCUUUGGAACACUCAUCUUCUUCCCCUCUUCCUUCCUUCCUCUCUCCUUUCCCUGGGGAUUGAACCCAAGAACGUUUUACCACUGAGCUACAUUGCCAGCCCUUUUUAUUCUUUUAUUUUGAGACAGGGUUUUGCCAAGUUGCUGAGGGCCUUGCUAAAUUGUAGAGGCUGGCCUCAAACUCGUGAUCCUCCUGCCUCGGCCUCUUGAGUUGUUGGGACUACAGGUGUACAUUACCAUGCCCCUCCUGGCUUCUUUUCUCCCCCCACCUCUUUCUCCCUUCUUUCCUAACUGCUCUCUUCAUUUGUGGAGAUUAGUAGUGAUCCCCCCUGAAUACAAAUGGUUGUGGUAGUAUCUGGGGCAGGAUGUGGCAGGGAUCAAUUAGGUAUAACAGCCCUGAGAGAAAAAAAGUCUGGGGACAUAGGAGGAGUGACCGCUGAUGUAGCCUGGGUGGUCAUGCGGCUCCCUGCCCCACUCAUGUCUUCCUUCUCCCCAACUCUUCUCUGCCUCCCACUCCUGUCCCCAUUCCCAUGAUGCUUGUCACCUCUGGGGUGCCUCCCAUGUCAGGUCAGCUUUUAGAGCUAUGGAGGGAGGAGGCCCCAGAGCACCCAGGCCUUGCCCGUCACAGGGAGAACCCCUGAUUCCUUCUUGGUAUCACUGUAUCUUUGUUCUCCAGGGAACCCAACCUGUUCUCCAGCCCCUCAGGCAGCACCGGCAGCUCCUGGCAAGGUCCCAGGGCCCUCUGCACCUGCUGUGGCUCACGUCCCCUACAAUGGCUACCGAGAAGAGCCAAGUUACCCCAGGCCUGUGCAGGACACACAGCCACCAAAGUCCCCAGGAGAGGUAUGUCCUCAGGGUUCACCCCAGGCUGCCUGUUUUUAUGUUCUUGUCUGCUCACUUCUGUGCCCCCACCUCCAGCCUCUUGGAAGUCUUUGCCUGCCUCCCACAAGUCAUGCCUGAUCUCUGUUAAGGACCCCAGGCUCCUUCAGUGGGGACCUGCUUCAGCCCAGCUCCCAGACUACUGACAAGGUCUGAGGCAGCCCCCAGCACUGUCAUCAAACAGCUUGGGAGGCCACGCUUUACCACGUGGUCAUGCGAGAUGUUGAGCUGGGUGGAAGAACCUGGGAGUGACCAGACUGGGGAGUAGGGUGAGGGAACUGGAGGUCUCGGGUGGCUGGAGGGGCUGUAAUUAUCACAGUAAAGUUAAGUGUAGAGAAAAGAUGACAAAUUAUAUGGAGAUAUGAUAAGUGGGCUGUGGGGUAUCAGGAGACACCAAACUGUGGACCUGAAACCACAGGGUUUGUGUAGAAACCCCUGAAGAAAGUGCUGUGUGCAGUGGAGACCUCCACAUGGCCAGACAGAUGGAUAGGGACCCCCAUAGGACAGUGUGUGUGUGUGUGUGUGUGUGUGUGUGUGUGUUUUAAAGUCCUGAGGACUGAACCCAGGGUCUCGUGCAUGCUAGGCAAGUGCUCUACCACUGAGGUAUACCCCCAGUUCCCUGGGGUGUUUUCUUUGAGCCCAUCAGUGUCCAGUUCCCAGAUGUAAGAUCAUCUGUGGACAGAGGGUCUGGCAAUGACCAGAAAUAAGAAAAGAGCUCCUUUAGAAGUUGUCCUUAGCUGGGCACAAUGGCGAAUGCCUAUAAUACUAGUGACUCAGGAGGCUGAGGCAGGAAGAUUGCAAGUUUGAGGCCAGCCUAAGCAACUUAGCAAGGCCCAGAGCAACUUAGCAAGACCCUGUCUCAAAAUAAAAAACAAAAAGGGCUGGGAUGUAGUUCAGUGGUAAAGCACUCCUGGAUUCAAUCCUUAAUACCCCCAUUACCACCACCAAAAAAAAAAAAAAAAAAGGAGAUGCCCCAGGAACAUCAGCUGUUCUUUGCCAGCUCUUGUCAGCCAUUUCUCUCUCUCUCAGAGUUCAGAGCCAGCCCCACAGAUACCCAGUUCCAGGGGAGUCCUGAGGAGACCUGCUGGCUCCUUGGAGCCCUCCUCUAACCCAACAUCCCUCAGCCUUCCGACUUCCAGCAGGCAUCAGGAGCAGGAUCGAGAACUGGGUGGUACCCACAUAGCAGGUAUGCAUGGGAUAUGAUGUUGGAGGGCCUGUUUGACCUCCCAAGUGAAGGUUAGGAUUAGAGUUGCCCCUUGGGCUUCCUUGAACAGGAGCAAAGUGGGAAUAAAGUGCAUUUACCCCAGGUACCAAACCAGUUCCUCAGUGAGUGUAUCAGUUAGUAUUUGCUGUGUAACAAACAGUCUAAAAAACAUUAUUAUAAGUAGAUUAAAAUACAAGCGUUUAUUUAGCACACAGCUGACCCAGCUAAACAGUUCUUCUGGUCUUGGCUGAAUUUCCUCUCCUGAACUCACUGAUACAUAUACUUAUUCUGCUUCUGACUUAUUGGAUGGGGCACCUUUAUUCCCUUCCAUGGGGUUUCAUAUCCUCUAGCACACAGGCCUUUCCCAUGGCAACUGGACAGAGACCUCUAAGUGAAGAAGAAAGGACUCUUGAGGCAUAGACUCCAAACUGGCACAGUGUCCUUCCUUCUUCACUCUGUGGGCCUAAGCAAGUUAUAAAGGACAGCCCAGAUUCAUGAGAAAUUGACUCCAUUCUUAGAUGGGAGGCCUAUAGAUUAGCCAGGACCUGGAGGAUGGGGAAAGACAGUACAAAGCUGGUCUGGCUAUUGGCAGAGGAGCCCUUCAGUACUGCCCUACUACCAAGGGGUGUCCAGUUCCCAGAAAGUCACUAAAAUAUCUCAACCCCCAGAGGAAGCAUGUCUAUCAUCAGCCAGGUGCCUGGACACUACACCAGAUCUCAGUACUCCCCCUCAAGGCUGUGUAGCUGACCACCCUGACCUGGCGUGUCUUUCUACUACUUCCCAAACUGUAUUCCAUAUGACACUUGUGCCUGGCCUGCCCUCAGUACCCUGGAACAGCCACAAGGCACAGGGAUAUUUAAAAGUUAGGAGAAACCAUCUUGUGCCCUCCACUCUUGUCACCCCCAAAUAGUCCUGAGCACCUGUUUGCACUUUACAGUGUUAUUUUGUCAUGGAAUGCCUUUUAGGAGGUGCUUCUAUGAACCAUGAAGGCAAAGGCACCUGAUUUCAGUGCAUUGAUGGACACAGGUUCCACGAGAGUCUGUGGUACUGCAUUUAGGGGAGGGGACAUGAGACAUCACUUCUUUUUUAGAAUUUGGGGGGUUUUAGAUAUACAUGACAGUAAAGUGUAUUUUGACAUAUUAUACAUGCAUGGAGCGUAACUUAUUCUAAUUGGGAUCCCCAUUCUUUUUUUUUUUCUUCCUAUACUGGGAAUUGAACUCAGAGGCACUCAACCCCUAAGCCACAUCCCCAGACCUAUUCUGUAUUUUAUUUAGAGACAGGGUCUCACUGAGUUGCUUAGCACCUUGUCAUUGCUGAGGCUGGCUUUGAACUCGUGAUCCUCCUGUUUCAGUUUCCUGAGCUGCUGGGAUUACAAGCAUGUGCCACCACGCCCAGCUUGGGAUCCCAUUCUUGUGGUUGUACAUGAUGUGGAGUUUCAGGCAUCACUUCUGACCUUUGUCAACCUUGGGGUCUGGUGUGUGCAUCCUUAGAGUUCCUGAUGACACUGCCUCUAUGGGCUGUCACCCUGUGUCAGGUCCUCUUCCUAGGGUGGCUUUGCCUUACUCCUGGGAACUGGCCAGCCUCUGGUACCACUUGACUGGUGUGAGCAGUUCUGCUUGAGCCACCCUGCUGUCCCUUGCCCUGAUCCAGUGUUGCUCCUGCUGGGGAGUGUGGGGGACAGCAGUGAGGGGAACAUCUAGGAUUCCACUAGCUAGAGAGAGAAAAAAAGCAGAAACAGGACAGGGAGGUGUUCUGGGUGGGAGAAACAGAAGCAGAAAGAAUAGCCAAUAAUGAUCUUUAAGCUCCUGGAUGCAGUUAGUGGGAAGGAUGACAUCGGUCUUGUGAUAGGACAGACUUGGGGAUAUAGGUCAAGGACUGCAGGCAACAGUUGAGUCUCAGGUCUGAGAGCGAUGACCAAAGGGACUAUAGUCUUCUCCAUGCACAGGUGAUUGGGAGGCAUGUUGCAAUAGGGCUAAUGUGAUUUGAGACACAGGGACCUUUCCCAACCCCUGAGGGUGACAGUCCUUUGGGUUUAUGCUUCUACUUUUGCUACCUGCAGGUGCAGUUUGCAGCUCCAUAUCAGCCCGUGGGCCUGUGUCCCCGACUGUCUCCUUCCAGCCCCUGGCCCGUUCCACCCCCAGGAAAAGCCACUUGCCUGGACCUGCAGUGUCAGCUCCUGCAUCUGCUGGUCCCUCCUCCAUUGCCUUGGCUUCUGUAGAGGAGAUUGGUGACCAUAAUAAGACUGCCAUCUGCUCUAGUGAUGCAGAGGUACCUGCUGAUUCAACAACUACCAGCUUACUGCCCUCCAAAGCGCCUGCCAACUCGGCCCUUGUCGGCUUGGGGCCCUCCAAGUUGCCUACCAGCACAAAGCCCCCUGGUGCAAUGCCCCCUAAAGUGCCCUCCAACCCAGCACCAUCCAAGUUGCCCAUCAACUCAACACGUGCUAGCGCCAUGCCAUCCAAAGUGCCUACUGCUACCAUGAUUCCCACCAAGGUGCCUACCAACACAAUGCCCUCCAACGGGAGCAAAGCCAAGGUGAGUCCUGGCCCCUCUUAGCAGUGCCUCAGGCCCCUUCCCUUUGGGCCCUGUCCUUGGACCCUUCCCAGUCUCCAUCCUGUCUCUAGCCUGGGCAAGUCCAUGACCUCUCCUUAAAGCUGUGGGGACAAGCUGGCAACCUGCCUCAUCCUCUAGGAGGAAUGACUGUCACGAAAACCCCUAAGUAUCAUUGCCUCAAGAGAGUCAGGCAUGGGGCCACCCUACUGGUCAUGUGCUUUAACUCACUGGGACUCAGCCUCCAGUUAAGCUUAGCAACACUGAUCUGUUGAUGAGGAAGCAGUGAGGGGUGGAGCAUGGUGGCCCACUUGCCUUCAUGCCUUGCCGUUUACCACCAGUAUGUCUGGCCUGCCUGUGACCAGGCUUUCCAAACAGCAAUUUCUGGCCAGCCAGCCUGGAGCAGCUGCUCUGACCCAUUAGCCCCCAUAGCUGCCCUCUCCAAAGCCUCGCAUCUAACCCUACUGCUGUUGUCUGCCUCGAGGAAGCAAGUUCCUGAGGCUCCAGGACACUGUAGCUGCCCUGUGAUCCUAAGGCCUCAGCAGUAGGGGCUUGCUGUCAAGGGCUUCCCUGGCAGACCAGUGAGUGGGGAGAGGGCUGCAAUGAGGCCAUCAAUGAAAUGAUACUACAAAGCCUUGGUGCCUUCUUCCCCUUCUGUCCUCUUCCCCACCAAUGGUCGGGUCUCCAAGCGAUGGUGUCUUGCAAGCCAGGAUAUAGGAUGGGAACUGAGAAGUUUGGGCUUGGGCUACUAGUUCAUGCCCUGACUCGAGAACAGGGCCACCCACUUUGUCUGGCUUAUCUCCCUCCCAUACCCAUCCCCUUCCAGCACUUUCCUUUCUUUCCCAGGAGACCCCAGGGACUCCAGCAACCACAGUCACCAUUGAAGGCAGCUCUCCUUGGAGGGGUAGCAGCUCUGGGAACUUGCGCUCUGAGGCCGAGCUGAGCAAGCCUGGUACCCUGGUAUCGAGGGUCGAUAGCCAGCCAUUUUCCGGCUGUUCUGAAGAUCUCGCUAUCAGCAAUUCUCUGGUCCUGGAGUCCAGCCAAGGCCCAGAGGAAAAUGAGUACAUGUCCUUUGCUAUCCAUGUGGCUGAGGGUCCCAGUGCUGACCUCCUGGAUGGCAGCCCUGAACGACCUGAGGCCUCAGAGCCCCAGGAGGAGGAAGAGGAGGAGAUGUGCUCAACAGCACCAGGGGCUCUGUGGUGGCUGGGGACUGCCGCAGCCAGCGCGCUCCUGGCGGUGCUCCUGGUAGUGCUGUACCGGCGGCGCCCACUGCAGUGAAACCUCCAAUGCCCACCACGUUCCCAUGGUGCCCUUUCCCCAGGCUGGCAGGGGCCGGGUCAAGCAGGGGACCUCGAGAACUAUGGGCCUGAUGGAGGAGUGAGUUGUGAGGACAGCGUUUUCUGUCCUAGCUCUUGUCCUCUGCUUGUCCCUCACCAUCCUUGGCUUUCCAGGCUCUAAGCGGCCCCCAGUGCUUCAGACCUUGCCUACCUGGUAGUCUCCCUGUGUGCUCCUAAGGAGGUCCCCUCCACCAGGCUUUGUCCCCCUUUGCCCAAGCCUGAAGAUCAGGAGAUGCCCCUCAUUCUGCCCAGGUCCCCUGAGGCCAAAACAGGUGUUCUGGGUGGGGAAUUCCCACAAGACCUUGUUCCCCGCCCAGCAGCUCAGCAUCCUGACAGCAGCAAGGUGCCUAGUAUUCAGGGAGCCAGCUGCUUUGGGUUCCCUGUCUCUCUAGUCCCCCUCUAUUGGCCAGGCCACCCUGGAAGAAGGUCCAGUUCCAGUGGACCCAGGGAAGCCAGAAGCAGCCACUAGACAGGAGGAAGACCCUUGGAGCCUUUCUCCAGUCCCCUUACCUCCACCUCUGUCCUCCAUUCUCUUUGGCUUCCUACAUGGGUUGGGGAAGGGACCUGCCUAGUGGUCAGAAUUCAAGCCAGGUUCAGAUUUCAGCUCUUCCCUUUCUGGGCUGUGUGACUUUGGCAGAUGUUCAGGCUCUCUGGUCUGGUUUCCCCACGUGGACAGUGAGCUUCUAGCUCAUCCUUCAUGGACAUGGCAUACAGGAUACGGCAUCCCUCCUGUCUAACCUGGUAGAGCUGAGGGCUUGAGAGGCAGAGUGCACAGCAACAAGGGUGCGCUGUGCAGUGAGGGCAGGCUCGGGCUGUAUCCUGCUCAUCAUCUCACUAGCUCUUUAAUCCCAGGCAAGAUAUUAACCUCUGUGUGCCUCACUUUUCUCACCUGUUAAAUGGGAGUGAAAUGUCUACACACACACACACAUACACAUAUGUAUGUACGUGUGUGUAUAUUCUAGUGUUGUCCUGGGGAUUAAAUUAGUUUAUCUAUGUAAAUCUUAGACUGAAUCCUGUCAUUUCCUAAGGACUGGAUACAUGUUAUUAUUGCUAAUUAAAUGGGCAGUGAGUAGAGCACUUGGCUAUACCUUUAGAGGUAAACCCAGACCCUGCUACCUUCUCCUUUCUUAUAUCUUCCUCUUAACUUCAUCUAGUACAUUUGCGAGUUGUUGGGGAGGGAGGUCUAUCCAGUGGGCAGCUGUUCUCCCCAUCUCCAGCAGCCAGGGGUGUUCCACCACCUCCCUGGGUGGGAAGAUAGCUAUUCUCUUCACACAUUGAGGUGCACUGGUGGGUAUCCUCUUGGGUUCUUUUCAGGUGGCCUUUGCUGGACAAGUGGUAGGCACAGGAGCCUUCUCUAUUUCUGGGCUCUUCAAGGGGCAAGAACUAGAGCCCUUGGAGAAAUCAGGGGUGUGGCUUGUUAUGUAAAGCUCGAGGCAGCUUUACCCUACACCGCCCUAGGGAACUUCCGCAACCUAAUGACCUCUACUUCUGAAUUUCAGCCCCCACUCUAAACCCAACAGCCUCUAACUUGAAUCCAGGUGUGGUCUGUCCCCAAGCUAUCUAUACCAGUACUUAUCAAUCCCUUGCUCUUAACCAACCACUGUAUCCCCCACCUGUAUCCCCAGGUGCCAGCCAGUCAGUUUGUGCACAGUCCUAGUUUUAAUGUGCUAGCCUCCCAGGGUACUUUGGGGAAAAAAAAACAAAAAAAACUCACUGGGUGGAGUGGCCCAUGCCUGUAAUCCCAGCAGUUCAGGAGGACCAAAUGUUCAAGGCCAGCCUCAGCAAUUUAGGGAGAACCUAAAUAACUUAGCAAGGCCCCAUCUUUUUAAAGAAUUAAAAAGGGCAUAAAAGGAGACAUAAAACUGGAAUGUAGUUCAGUAGUGAAGCACCUCUGGAUUCAAUCUCCAGCACCCCCUGAAAAGAAAAAAAAAAAAAAUUGGCUCAAGAAGGCAACACGUAGUCCCAGAGAAUCACUCACUCAACUGGGGGAUUUCUUUUUGUUGGUGGUGGUGCCAGGGAUUGAACUCAGGGGUGCUUAACCACUGAGCCACAUCCUCAGCUCUUUUUAUUUUUUUAUUUUGAGACAGGGUCUCCCUAAAUUGCUUAGGGCCUGUUAAGUUGCUGAGGCUGGCUUUGAACUUAAUAUCCACCUGCUUUGGCCUCCUGAGCCACUGGGAUUAUAAGUGCACCACUGUGCCCAGUCAACUGGUACAAUUUCAACUACAGAAACCAGUCACUGUAGGCGAUAUAUUGGAUCAGGUGUGUGGGAAGUGUUCAGGGCCUUCCCAGCACAUUUCAGACUAUACCGCCUCAAAUCCCUGACUUGGCCUGCACUUAACACUAUCCCCAUCUCAGCUAUUAUCAAUCUGAAGACUUAAAUGCCACCUUCAGGCAGAAAUGGGAAUUAGAGUCCAGUCUCAAGAAUCCUGUUCUGGGUUGUGACUUUCAGCUGCAGGAAGGUUUACAAAGGAGUGUGAACUAGGAAGUUCACCUUCACAGCUGUGGCCCAGACAAGGUAGAGGCUGGAACACAAGGAAGGGAGGAAGGACCUCCACUCGCAGACGGGACUAGGGGACCCUUGAGGUCAAGGCUGGGUAGUCCUGGAGGGACCAAUGCCCUCCUAAGUGCCCGGGGGCAGACCCACCUGCAGCAGAACCUCUGUCCACGUUCUUUCCCUGGCUGAAGCAUUUCCUCAAAGCUCUGGGACUGUUGUGGUUUCUGUCUCUCAGGGAAGUACCCAUGGACUUUAACCUAACAAAGCCAGAACAGUGCCACUCCUUCACUUCUCUUGCUGGCUACCCUCAGGUUUAGGGAGCUUCUUAGUCAAGGAUGAGGGAGAUGCCCUUUACCCUGCCAGGUCUCAGAUUAUUAAUACCGUCUUUUAGAAAACAUUUAUUAUGGCCAGCUUUCAGACAAAUGCAAAAGUAGAGAGACCAGAAUAACACACUGCCCAUCUCCUGGCUUUAAUAUCUUGGCCAUCUUAUUCAUCCCUGCCUGUUGCCCCCUUCCUUCCUCUUUUCUUUGGUAUGGGGGGGGCAUUGAUUUCAGGGGCACUUUACCACUGAGCUACAUCCCUAGACCUUUUUAUUUUUUAUUUCAGGGUCUCACUGAGUUGCUCAGGCUGGCUUUGAAUUUGCCAUCCUCCUGUCUGCUCCUUCCAAAUUGCUGCAAUUACAUCUAUGCACCAAUGCACCCGGCUGCCCCCUUUUUUGAGUACAGGUUCUUUGUAUAAGAGUGUGAAGGGUUCAGAAAGCCAAGGGAAAGACAUAAGCUGGAAGGAUUUUAAGAUCAUCUAUUUUCUCCCAGGGCAGCAUUAGGUAACAAUGAAGCAUCCACGUUGUGGUCUGUUGGCCUCUAUAGGUGACGUCCUUCUUGAACCAGUUCAAAGCAUGAGCAGCACUGGACUCCAUCUUAGGAGGAGGGGACUGCAAGCGUCCUUCCAUUGUCAAGCUCCUUGGAGGUGCCUGCUAUUGCUCCUGUCUCAGAGAAGUGACAACACAUGAGACAUAUACCACAUGGCACAGCCCUUCCAACCAGCAGAAGUCCUCAUGCUAGGCAAUGUUCAAAUUCCACAGUCCUAGGAAUGGAGUCCUUGGGCCUUGAGGUUCCACACUUGCCAUGGGUGCACUGUCAUGCGCCUAAAGGCCAAGACCCACUUCCCCCUGGGAAGGGAGAUGAGGGGUCUUUGGUCUGAAAUGUCUGUGCUGGGAUUGAUACCGCUCCACAGAGGAUAGUCACAUGCUCCUUGCUUUCUUAGUUUUUUUUUCCUUUAUCCCAGGGCUAAGAGGUCCACAGGGGGUUCUGGGUGUGGUCACUGUGAACAUUCUUCACUUGGCUGCUGCUAACAACAAAUAAUAAUAAAGGUCGCCACUAAUGUCUGAUUUUAAUUGCGUGCUAGACACUGUGCCAAGAGCUACACAUAUAUUAGUUCAUUUAAUCCUCACAAUGACCCUAGGAAAGAGACACCAUUAUGGAUCCAAUUUAUAGCUGGUUUACAAGACUGGGAGGGAAGAAAGACAAGAGGGACAAUGACUCCUAGGCCCCAGAGCUAGAUGCUUCUUACGUCUAUGAACUUCAACUCACCUGAUAUCUGGAACAAAGUAAACCAUUUAAAGUGAGAUCAUCACACCAUCACAUCACUGCCCAGUAUGCCAAAAUCUGCCACCUACUAUAAUAGUAUAGUAACACUAGGUCUAUAAUUAAAAUAAUCUCAGGGGUGUCCUAAUGAUACGAUUAUAAUCAUUUUGUGUGUGCCCAGGCUCAAAGCCCUGGGGCUGGGUGAGGUGAGGCUGGUGCCAUAAGAAAACUAGAAUGUUAGUCUUCAUGAAGCCAGUUCGAUUUAGCAGACAUCGUUUAAGAGUCAUUUGUGCCAGGUCCAAGGCCUCUGAGGGUGCCUUCGAGUGGUUGGGGGUGUUCAUAAUGUGUGAUACAGGCAAAAAGGCUUCCAUAUCAUUCUUUCAUAUAAUUUUACAGCAAAUAUUUAUUUUGUACCCACUGUGAGCUAAACAUUAUAAUAGGUCUUGAUGACAUAGAUAAUAAAGACCUCUCCCUAAAAGUCCUCUCCCACCCCCCACUGUCUCUAACCCAGUAGUAGUUCAAUGGAGUGUCUCUGGAGCAUGGCAGGGGCCAGUGAGGGGGAAGGACAAGUAUUGUUUUGAUCUGUUUUUGACUACUGAGAAUUAUAACUAAAUUUGGAGCGGGGCGAGAAACAGUAUGAGAGAUAACAUUAAAUAUUCAUGAAAAUGUGAAUAUGUUGGAGGAAUGUAGGUUGGUGUUAUGGCCUGAACAUAUAUGUCCCUGCAAAAUUCAUAAGUUGGAACCUAACCCCAAGGUGAUGGUAUUAGGAGGUGAGUCCUUUGGGAAGUGAUUAGGUCAUGAGGGCUCCACCUUCAGGAAUGGGAUUCAUGCCCCUAAGAGGACAGAGGGAGCUGGUAUGGUGGUGAACACAUGUAAUCCCAGCAACUUGGGAGGUUGAGGCAGGAGGAUCACAAAUUCGAGGCCAGCUUCAUCAACUUGGUGAGACCCCAUUUCAAAAUACAAAGUGCUAGGGAUAUUGCUCAGGGUAGAGCACUCCUGGGUUCGAUAACCAGUACUGGAAAAAGAGAGGGUGAAAGGCUUGAAAGCCCUCUGUUCCUUCCACCAUGUGAGGACAGAGAAGUCCAUAUGAGAAAGCAGCAACCAUAUCUUUGAAGCUGAGACUGGACCUUUAUUAGACACUGAAUUUGUUGGUGCCUUGAUCUUGUACUUCCAAAUCUCUAAAAUGGAAAUUUCAAUGAUUUCUAAAUUACCUAAUAAAAGGCAUCUUGUAAUAGCAGCUUGCAUGAACUAAGCCAGUUGGUGAUACCUUACUGGAAAACUGGCAGUUGUCUACUAGAGCCUAAUAUAGGCCUAAACCUGUGACCCAGCAAUUCCACUCCUGGGUGUGUUCACAACAGAAACAAGAGUGCAUGUCCACAAAGAUGUGUGCAAGAAUGCUUCUCAGAUGCUCAGGUCCCUUGUGCAGUAUUUGCACAUCUCUGCACAUUCUCCCAUAUAGUUCAAAACAUCUUGAAAUUGCUGAGCAAAUGACACUCGCCUGUAAUGCCAGUGACUUGGGAGGCUGAUGCAAGAGAAUGGCAAGUUCAAGGCCAGUCUCAGCAAUUUAGUGAUGUCCUAAGCAACUCAUCUCAAAAAAUAAAAAGGGCUGGGGAUGUAGCUCAGUGGCAAAGAGCCUCUGGAUUCAAUCCCUAGACUCCCCCCCCCACCAAAAACAAACAAACAAACAAAAACUUCUAACCAUCACACUGAUCACACUGUCCAUAAUAUCUCCAAAAUAAGAAAAACCCAAAUUGUCUAUCCUCAGGAAAAUGGAUGUUGUAAUAAAGUCACACAGUAGAAUACUAUUAUAUAAAUGAAGACAUUGCAACAUAGAACAUGGAUGAAUCUCCUGGACCUGAUGCUGAGCCAGAGUUAGUGUACACCAAAAAGCAAAUUUUAUUUAUCUUAAAUAAACAAAGCUGAUUUAUGAUGUUAAAAGUCAGGAGAAAGAUGAACUCUGGUAGGGAUGUAGCUGGGAAGAAACAUUCUGGGGUGUUGGUCUACCUCCUGAUCCAUGUGUUGAUUUCAUGAGUAUUUUUAGUUUGUGUCCAGUACCCUGUGGGAGAUGUGAAAGUUGGGGAUGGGGAUAUGGCUCGAGCGGUAACACACUCGCCUGGCAUGCGCCGGGUGCUUGGUUUGAUCCUCAGCACCACAUAAAAAUAAAAUAAAGAUGUUGUGUCCACUGAAAACUGAAAAAUAAAUAUUAAAAAUAAUUCUCUCUCUCUCUCCUCUCUCUUAAAAAAAUAAAGAAAAUAAACAAAGAUCCUCCAAAUGAGGACUAAAAGCCAUUUAAUCAGAGCUUGAGAGGCAGUCAGCCAUCAUAAUUUGCAUGUGACAGGGACUCUAAGGCAGGCAGGGAUGCGAAACUCCAUAGUAGGAAAAAGGGAAGGUUCAGGUGUGCCGUGAUUGGAUGAUGUUGGUCUUGAGCUGUAAGAGGUGGAGAGGUGGUUGGAGGUUGGGAAGGAACGGUGAUCAUUAGCUAAAUUCUCCACCCCACCCCCAUACUGGGCAUUGAACCCAGGGGCACUUCAUACUGAGCUAUAUCCACAUUCUUUUUAUUUUUUUUUAUGUUGACGCAGGGUCUAAGUUGCUGAGGCUGGUUUUAAAUUUGCUUGCGAUCCUUUUGCCUCAGCUCUCGAAUUGCUUGGAUUACAAGUGUGUGCCACUGUGCCCAGCUCACUGGCCAAGUUUUGACUGUUCUGAGCUCAUUGCUGCACAGAUGGAAGUUUGGCUUCUGGGGCUUCCCAGGCUGCUUGCUACAAGAGUUUUAUUCACAUCCAAAUUCCUUUAUCAUAUAUAGUCAGUCAUUUUCUAUUUGCAUAUUCAGUCUCUCAGAGGGAAGGGCACGGGCUUUGAGGGAGCUGCCAUGCAGCACUGAUGGGAGGCACAUUCGCACUUCCUCCAGCUUCCCAUCCAUGUCUGGGGUCAGAGGUGCCUGCCUGUGUGAGGGAGUCCAUGGCCGGGGGGCUCUGCUCCCAGCUGUGGUGCAGCUGCUACACCAACCAAGGUUCUCUUUUUUUCUUCAAGGCUGGCUUUUUAAAGCUCAACCCCUACAGAAAGGUUUCUUUGAUUAGAUCCCUCUGGUUUUAAUAAGUGGGCUUCUUAAAUUCCCAUGGCUCACCUCAAACCCUGCUUUUAUGUGUAAAUUCUGACCUCCUUGCCUACAUUUUAAAAAACAUAAACCAGGCACCCUGGUGAUGCAGGCCUGUAAUCUCAGUGACUCUGAGGAGGACUGCGCAGGCUCAAGGCCAGGCUCAGCAAUUUAGCUAGAUUGUGUCUCAAAAUAAAAAGGGGCUGGGGAUGUGGGGAUAUAGAUCAGUGGUAGAGCACUCUUGGGUUCAAUCAUCAAUAUUGCAAAACAACAACAACAAAAUCCUAUACUGAUUACUUUUAAUUACUUUCUCAGUGAGUUUCUUCUUCCCCCGCCACUCAGCUACAUACCAGCCCUCACUUUUUUUUUUACUUUUUUAUUUUUGAGACAGGGUCUUACUAAGUUAUUUAGGGCCUUGCUAGGUUGCUGAGAUUGGCCUUGAACUUGUGAUCCUCCUGCCUCAGCCUUCCAAAUCACUGGGAUUACAGGCCUGGGCAACUGCACUGGGUUGAUUUAUCUCUUUCUUUCUCUCUCACUCUCUCUUUCUUUCCUCCCUCCCCUUUUUCUUUCCUUCUUUCCUUCUUCUCUUUUUGUGAUGUCAGGGAUUGAACAUAAGGUUUGUGCGUGUUAGGCAAAUGCUCUUCCCAGUGAUGGUUUGUGUGUGGUAUGUAACUGGGGAGAGAACCCUGGGGUGUUCUACCAUGUCCUGUGAAGGACAUGAAGAAUAAAUUCCAGGGUGUUAGAUAUGAAAAAUGACAACCCCCAUAAUACUGUGGCCUGGGAAGAGGGCAUGAGGAAGAAGGCAACACAUUGAUAACAUUGAUCCUUUCCCAAUACAUUCUUUCCCAGUGACAAGACAAGCCCUGGGGAGGAGAUAUCCAUCAAGCCUAGAAUGAUGGUCUCUAAUAAAUCCUUUCUAGAUACUGACUGUUGACCCCCGACCCUCCAUCUUGCCCAGUAAAAACAGAUCUCAAAUUCCUGGGUGCCCAAAUUGACACGCUAACUAAUCAAGUCACUUCUCAGUAUAACCUAUAACAGACUCCCCCUUUGGCUAGUGGCUCAUUUUCCGUUAGGAAAGUGGGUCUAUCAUAGGCACGACUUUAUUGCUGAAUAAAGGCUGUGCUGAUCCAUGAAGUUUGCACCCGGCUCGUUCCUUUUGGAGCUAACAUUUUGGUUCCCUGAUCAGGAAAUGGGAGAAAGGGUAAUAUUUUGUUCUUCCCUGUACCCCCAAAACCCAUUCCCUCCCCCCACAGUCAAAGUUAACCAACUAAUGAGGCCCUGAAAGUGACCACUGAACAUCUGGCACUUCCAUGGCUUUCUGAAAGUCAGGGGGACCUCCAAGCUGUGGCUCAUAGGAGCUACAGCUGAAUGCCCAAACUGACUGUGUCCCCCCAACUCUGUAGAACAUAGGCCCUUCACGCCCUUUGCAGUCCACUUUAGCUAAGCAACUGCCAGCUUUUUUGCGGGAGAAAUUUGGUGCUUGGGACAGAGGAGGGCUUAAGGCAGCUGGCCGGGGCCACUCUCUGGUGCUGCACAAAGGUCUUAUGUCUCAAAUCUGGUCCCGACAGCCCUCAGGGGUACCAAAUAUCGACCACCUGCUAGAUUUUUGUGGCUUUAUGCCACAAGAACAAUGCAAGAUUUGUAUCAAGUCCUUUAUUGGCAUUGAAGGUGUCCUGUUUCUACUUCCUCCCCUCCCCAAUCUUCCCUUCCCUUACACACCCAGCAAACCUCAGGGAUCUGAGAUCUCUUUGCCAUUUUGUUCCUGCAUCCAACACCAGCUUUUAAAUUCUCCAGAGAGGUAAGACUCAGUCCAGCUGGUCUCCAGCAGAUAGGUACCCGCCCUUUAGCUAGCUAGGACCCAGGGGGUCCCCUACCAGUGAGAUUGGUGUAAAGAUGUUUCCCUAGUCCCCAGUGGGAGAAGUCCACUCUGAUGACUGGCACACCUCUGACAUAAGAGUUCAGAGGACGCUUUGCUUUCAGUCGUCACUUCUGUCCAGCCUCUCCAAAUAUGGAAGUCAUUCGGUCAGUUCCCAGAGACAACCUCUUGGGCUGUCUCUUUAUCAAUGUUAUGACCCUCUACUCCCAAACUGACCUCAAAAUUGAACACCUCAUUAGACUCAGCACUCAGAUUUGGCCACAGUACAAAUUAGAUAAUCAGUGCCCAUGGCCCAAGUACAAAACUCUUUUUUUUUUUUUUAAUAUUUAUUUAUUUAUUUUUCGGUGGACACAACAUCUUUGUUUGUAUGUGGUGCUCAGGAUCGAACCUGGGCCGCACGCAUGCCAGGCGAGCGCGCUACCACUUGAGCCACAUCUCCAGCCCCAAGUACAAAACUCUUGAUAAAGAAAUUCUCCAGGCUUUGCAAAAAUAUUUAAUACAGAUUGGCAGGUGGUUUGAGGUUCCAUACCUUCAACCUUUCUUUUUCCUUCACUCAAUUACCAAAUAUACCACCCUAGACUUUCAUACUGCUGCUGAUACUCUCUUUCUCCCUAUGCAAUUUAUCAGCGGGUCUGCAUCUGAUACCCAUAAAAAAACAGAGAAGGGCGCCAAGGCUUCCCAGAAUCAAUUUCUAGAUCCUGCUUUUAAGACCUUUAACAAUAGGGAAGAUGAGGCCAAACAGGAGAAAGAAAAACAUCUUAAAACUAAAUAUCAGCUCCUAGCCUCAGCCAUCCAUCGCCCUAAAAAAAGCCAUUGCUACUCACGGCCCCUCCAGACCCUCUAAUAUACCUUUGGGCCCCAUUUCUGAUGUGGAUGGACUGGACCUUGGACAAAAACCCAAGGCUGCUCACCAAGCCANUCUGAAACGUCUGUGCUGGGAUUGAUACCGCUCCACAGAGGAUAGUCACAUGCUCCUUGCUUUCUUAGUUUUUUUUCCUUUAUCCCAGGGCUAAGAGGUCCACAGGGGGUUCUGGGUGUGGUCACUGUGAACAUUCUUCACUUGGCUGCUGCUAACAACAAAUAAUAAUAAAGGUCGCCACUAAUGUCUGAUUUUAAUUGCGUGCUAGACACUGUGCCAAGAGCUACACAUAUAUUAGUUCAUUUAAUCCUCACAAUGACCCUAGGAAAGAGACACCAUUAUGGAUCCAAUUUAUAGCUGGUUUACAAGACUGGGAGGGAAGAAAGACAAGAGGGACAAUGACUCCUAGGCCCCAGAGCUAGAUGCUUCUUACGUCUAUGAACUUCAACUCACCUGAUAUCUGGAACAAAGUAAACCAUUUAAAGUGAGAUCAUCACACCAUCACAUCACUGCCCAGUAUGCCAAAAUCUGCCACCUACUAUAAUAGUAUAGUAACACUAGGUCUAUAAUUAAAAUAAUCUCAGGGGUGUCCUAAUGAUACGAUUAUAAUCAUUUUGUGUGUGCCCAGGCUCAAAGCCCUGGGGCUGGGUGAGGUGAGGCUGGUGCCAUAAGAAAACUAGAAUGUUAGUCUUCAUGAAGCCAGUUCGAUUUAGCAGACAUCGUUUAAGAGUCAUUUGUGCCAGGUCCAAGGCCUCUGAGGGUGCCUUCGAGUGGUUGGGGGUGUUCAUAAUGUGUGAUACAGGCAAAAAGGCUUCCAUAUCAUUCUUUCAUAUAAUUUUACAGCAAAUAUUUAUUUUGUACCCACUGUGAGCUAAACAUUAUAAUAGGUCUUGAUGACAUAGAUAAUAAAGACCUCUCCCUAAAAGUCCUCUCCCACCCCCCACUGUCUCUAACCCAGUAGUAGUUCAAUGGAGUGUCUCUGGAGCAUGGCAGGGGCCAGUGAGGGGGAAGGACAAGUAUUGUUUUGAUCUGUUUUUGACUACUGAGAAUUAUAACUAAAUUUGGAGCGGGGCGAGAAACAGUAUGAGAGAUAACAUUAAAUAUUCAUGAAAAUGUGAAUAUGUUGGAGGAAUGUAGGUUGGUGUUAUGGCCUGAACAUAUAUGUCCCUGCAAAAUUCAUAAGUUGGAGGAGAGUCCUUUGGGAAGUGAUUAGGUCAUGAGGGCUCCACCUUCAGGAAUGGGAUUCAUGCCCCUAAGAGGACAGAGGGAGCUGGUAUGGUGGUGAACACAUGUAAUCCCAGCAACUUGGGAGGUUGAGGCAGGAGGAUCACAAAUUCGAGGCCAGCUUCAUCAACUUGGUGAGACCCCAUUUCAAAAUACAAAGUGCUAGGGAUAUUGCUCAGGGUAGAGCACUCCUGGGUUUGAUAACCAGUACUGGAAAAAGAGAGGGUGAAAGGCUUGAAAGCCCUCUGUUCCUUCCACCAUGUGAGGACAGAGAAGUCCAUAUGAGAAAGCAGCAACCAUAUCUUUGAAGCUGAGACUGGACCUUUAUUAGACACUGAAUUUGUUGGUGCCUUGAUCUUGUACUUCCAAAUCUCUAAAAUGGAAAUUUCAAUGAUUUCUAAAUUACCUAAUAAAAGGCAUCUUGUAAUAGCAGCUUGCAUGAACUAAGCCAGUUGGUGAUACCUUACUGGAAAACUGGCAGUUGUCUACUAGAGCCUAAUAUAGGCCUAAACCUGUGACCCAGCAAUUCCACUCCUGGGUGUGUUCACAACAGAAACAAGAGUGCAUGUCCACAAAGAUGUGUGCAAGAAUGCUUCUCAGAUGCUCAGGUCCCUUGUGCAGUAUUUGCACAUCUCUGCACAUUCUCCCAUAUAGUUCAAAACAUCUUGAAAUUGCUGAGCAAAUGACACUCGCCUGUAAUGCCAGUGACUUGGGAGGCUGAUGCAAGAGAAUGGCAAGUUCAAGGCCAGUCUCAGCAAUUUAGUGAUGUCCUAAGCAACUCAU